GGGCCCGCACAAGCGGUGGAGCAUGUGGUUUAAUUCGAUGAUACGCGAGGAACCUUACCAGGGCUUAAAUGUAGUGGGACAGGUCUAGAGAUAGACCCUUCUUCGGACUCAUUACAAGGUGCUGCAUGGUUGUCGUCAGCUCGUGCCGUGAGGUGUCAGGUUAAGUCCUAUAACGAGCGCAACCCCUAUCGUUAGUUGCCAGCGAGUAAUGUCGGGAACUCUAACGAAACUGCCAGUGCAAACUGUGAGGAAGGUGGGGAUGACGUCAAAUCAUCACGGCCCUUACGUCCUGGGCUACACACGUGCUACAAUGGCCGGUACAGAGAGCAGCCACUUCGCAAGAAGGAGCGAAUCUAUUAAAACCGGUCUCAGUUCGGAUUGAGGUCUGCAACUCGACCUCAUG
rnacentral:rRNA from 1 species